AUUCUACUCCCUCCGUUCCAUAAUACAUGCCUUCUAUUUUUGAAAAUAUAGAUGUAUCUAGACAUGUUUUAGUAUAUAGGUACAUCCAUUUUUGGACAAAUGGAAGUCAAGUAUUUUGGAACGGAGGGAGUACACA
rfam:Triticum aestivum genome assembly, contig: Triticum_aestivum_CS42_TGACv1_scaffold_146426_2BS